rnacentral:rRNA from 1 species
UAAGAGGUCCCGCCUGCCCUGUGACUAUAUGUUUAACGGCCGCGGUAUCUUAACCGUGCGAAGGUAGCGUAAUCACUUGUCUUUUAAAUGAAGACCUGUAUGAAUGGCAUCACGAGGGCUUAACUGUCUCCCCUCUCCAGUCAAUGAAAUUGACCUCCCCGUGCAGAGGCGGGGAUAUUUAUAUAAGACGAGAAGACCCUGUGGAGCUUUAGACCUAAAGUAAACCACGUUUAAUGUACUAGAAUUAAUAGCAAAAACUUAGUGGACAUUUAUUUAAGUGUCUUUGGUUGGGGCGACCGCGGAGUAAAACAUAACCUCCAUGUGGACGGGGAUACUUUCCCUAAAACUCAGAGCCUCCACUCCAAGCAACAGAAAUUCUGACCUUACUGAUCCGGUACAACCGAUUAACGAACCCAGUUACCCCAGGGAUAACAGCGCAAUCCCCUCUCAGAGCUCAUAUCGACGAGGGGGUUUACGACCUCGAUGUUGGAUCAGGACAUCCUAGUGGUGCAGCCGCUAUUGAGGGUUCGUUUGUUCAACG